rnacentral:rRNA from 1 species
AUUGAACGCUGGCGGCAUGCCUUACACAUGCAAGUCGAACGGCAGCACGGGAGCAAUCCUGGUGGCGAGUGGCGAACGGGUGAGUAAUAUAUCGGAACGUGCCCAGUCGUGGGGAUAACGUAGCGAAAGCUACGCUAAUACCGCAUACGAUCUAUGGAUGAAAGCGGGGGAUCGCAAGACCUCGCGCGAUUGGAGCGGCCGAUAUCAGAUUAGGUAGUUGGUGAGGUAAAGGCUCACCAAGCCGACGAUCUGUAGCUGGUCUGAGAGGACGACCAGCCACACUGGGACUGAGACACGGCCCAGACUCCUACGGGAGGCAGCAGUGGGGAAUUUUGGACAAUGGGCGCAAGCCUGAUCCAGCAAUGCCGCGUGCAGGAUGAAGGCCUUCGGGUUGUAACUGCUUUGUACGGAACGAACGGUAGAGCUCUAAUACAGUUUGUCU